rnacentral:lncRNA from 1 species
UGUUCCCAUGUAUGGAACGGCAUUUAAAGGGAAGCAAAACAUGAAUUAAAUGAGAUAUUCACCAUGCAUGGACGGCAUUAAUGAAAGCAUGCAAGGGGGACGUUAUUGAACAGCAUUAAAGCUGGUAUUGCUUCGGGUACAGCAAAGAGCUGUUGUUUGGGGAAUUUCCAAGUGACCAUUCGGCCAAAGCAUGUCUGUUGCUUAAUUAACCAAGGUUGACGUUUCAUACUCCCAAGAAGCAUUUAGGAGCUGUUUUGUGUGCCCAAAACGUCAAUAAAAAUGGUCAAGCUGUUCAACUCACAAGGAGGCUUCAUUAAGGUGCAUUCAACUUCAUUGGCCGAACCAAG